ensembl:rRNA 5S_rRNA 5S ribosomal RNA
GUUGACACCCAUACCACCCAGAAUGCACCUGAUCCUGGAAGCUAAGCAGGGUCGGACCUUGUUAGUGCUUGUGGGAGACUGCUUAGGAAUCAAUACUUGAAAAAU